AUCAUGACACUAUACACCUUAAAUAUGUACAGUUUUUGUCAGUUAUACCUCAAUAAAACUGGAAAAAGCGUUUUAUAUGCAAAUAAAAAAUGAAACAGCAUUUUAAAUUAAAGUGUUCAUUGUAAGAUUAUAGCAUAUUUAUCAACUCAUUUAGGGUAUGCCUAAAUUCUGUUGUCAAAAAUUUUACUACCUUAAAUAAUCUAGCAUAUAAGUCAUUUCAUACAUAGGUGAGGAUGCAGUUUUAUUUUUUAAAUGCUAAUCCAGUUGUCUCAGUACUAUCUACUGAGCAAUCCUUCCCUUCCUUUCUAACAUGAGAUACUGCACGUAAUCUAAUAUUCAACUGCAUUUUGCAUUUGCAAAUCCAAUUCUUUGUGACUUUGCUUUAUGUAGUGGCCUCCCUCCCAAUAACAAUAACCUAUAAACAUAUUGUUGGGACUUUCUUGAUAUCUAUUAAUUUCAGGUCUAACAACAUUUCUCAGGCCCCACCAAUUUAACUCCCAGUACUACCAAUAAUAUUUUGUUUUAAUUAAACUCUCUUUUGCUUGGCAAGAUGUCUGAAGCAUAUCAAUUAGCCAAUUAGUUCUGAUCACUGAAGUGUCUCUUUGGCUCUGUUUCCACCAAGACACAGCCUUGCUCACAAAGGACCAUCUCUUAGGAUUAGAGCCCGAGGCAUAGCCGUGUGUCCUAAGGGGCCAGUUCCUUAGGGGUUAUUGUGAGGAUUAAGUGAGUUAAUGUAAAAUUCAAGAAUGUCAACCAGAUUGGAGAAAGCAUUUCAAACAUGUAACAGAAAAGCAGAUAUCACAGUGCUAACAGGUGCAGACCCUGGAGCCAGGAGACUGGGUUUGUACCUAUCUCGUCACUGUCACCUAUCCAUCGUGUACCUUUGGCAGAUUCCUUAACUUCCUUGUGUCUCCAUAUCCUUAUCUGUAAGAUGGGAAUAAUAAUAGCGCCUACCCCCAGGGAUGCCACUUGCUUAUGCUGUCGCUUUGUGUGAAUUUGGAAAAAGACAGUUGCCUAUUAACUUUGCAACCUAAAGGCGUCUUUGUGUGAAGAAAUCGGAACUCCUUCAUUCCCAUGCCAAGGCAAGGACAAGAUGCGCUGAAUGAGGGUGGAAUUGUAGCCCCUACGCCCACUCUCUGCCACGUGCCUUUAUGCAAUCCAGUAGUACAACCCCACACCAUGAUCAGUCUACACUGUGGGAUCACUGUGUAUAAUAGAGGAGUUACUACUUGUAAAACACUUAGAACCAUCCUUAGCACAUAGUCCGCCCUCAGUAAGUAUAGCUGUUCUCUUACCUAGUGCUUCUCACAGUUUAUUUCUGAGCCUGGCUUUGCCAGUACUACUGAUGACAGCACCAUUUUAAAACCCAAAGACAGGGGAUCCCUGGGUGGCUCAGCGGUUUAGCGCUGCCUUCAGCCCAGGUUGUCCCAGGAUCGAGUCCCACAUCAGGCUCCCUACAUGGAACCUGCUUCUCCCUCUGCCUGUGUCUCUGCCCCUCUCUCUGUCUGUGUCUCUCAUGAAUAAAUAAAUGAAAUCUUAAAAAAAUAAAUAAAAAAAUAAAACCCAAAGACAAGUAGAGAGCUUUUUUUAAAUACCUCUCUUUUGGUAAUCACCACUUAUUUUAUUUUUAAAAAAAGCUUUUAUUUAUUUGAGAGAGAGCAUGCGUGAGCGGAGCAGGGUGGGGGAGAGAGGCAGAGAGAGAGGGAGAAGCAGACUCCCUGCCGAACAGAGAGCCCCACGGGGGGAUCGAUCCUAGGACCCUGGGAUCAUGACCUGAGCCAAAAGCAGACAUUUAACCAACUGAACCACCCAGGUAUCCCAGUCACUAUUUUAAUUAUUUGCAAGGCUAUUUAUAUCACAUAUAAUCCAAAUAACUUAAUUAAAUUCUCUAGGUGUGUGUGCCAAUGCACACGUGCACACACACACACACACACACACACACACACUUUUUUGUUGGGGAGGGGGGCAAAUUUGAAUUGGCCUAAUCACUGAUCUUAAAACAUCUGCUGAAUUCCCAGUUUGUCUUCACACCUGGGCCUGGGUAAAGCACUUCCAAUGCAAAGUUGAAUGGGACACAGAAUCAGAUCUCUUUCAAGAGAAAUAAAAUCGGUGGUUACAGUUCAGUGCAAUGCAUGUUAGGCUCAGAGUGGAAAGGGAGCACAGAGUGGGGGCUGAUUAGGAAGCACGUCAGGAAAAGAUUUCUGUAAGAUGUGAUCCUGGGUUUGUUCAAAAAAGUUAGGAAAAAAAACAAACAAAGGGAAGUUCAGGCCAGUAAAGGCAUAGAGAUGAUAACCAAUUCCAUUUCACUGGGCCAGAGGCUUUGGUAGUUUUGAGGGGAGUUUUUUCUUCUUUUAUUUGAGAAUAGUAGACACACCAUGCUACAUUUGUUUCAGGUGUACAACAUCAUGAUUCAAAUCCUCUAUCCAUGCUAUGCUUACACAAGUGUAGCUGCCAUCUGUCACCACACGUGCCCUUACAGUAUCACUGACUGAUUCCUAGCUGUGCUUUAUUCUCCUCACUUCUUCAUUCCACAACUGGAAGCCUCUGUCUCCCUUUUACCCAUUUUGUUCAUCCCCCACUGCCUCCCCUCUGGCAACCUCAGUUUGUUUUCUGUGCUUAUAGGUCUGAUUCUGCUUUUUUGUUUGUUUAUUUGAGUAUAGAGGAAGAUUAUUUGAGAAAGGAAGUUAAAGGAGAGUGAUCGAAGCCACAUUUGACUGAGUAUUGAAGGAAGCCAGAGUAAAUACUUAGAAGUUGAUCCUAGAAGUAAGAGAGGGUCAUUUAAAUAAUUUUUGCUGAGAAUUUAUCUAUCUAAAACUGCAUUUGGGGGUAUAAUUUUAUGGCUGAGUUGCACAGGCUCAGUUGGAGCAGAGAAACGAUGGCAAUGGGCCACUCAAGAUAUCAGGAACCUGAAGUGAGAGAUAUUAUGAAGGAGGAAGUGGUGUGGUUUGAAGAUUUGACUGGAUGGUAAUGGGGCUGGCUGACAUUUUAUCUGUGCAAGUUAAGCAGAGAAAUCAUAACCAAGGGAUGACAUACAUUUUUCUUUCUUUUUAUGCUGUACGUUUAGGGCCUUUCUUAUAAGGAGUUCUUUAAUUCUCUUUCAGAAAGCAAACUAUAUUUCCCAGGCUCUGGUGGUCUAGAAGUAAACUCAGAUUUUCUAGAUUUAGGCAAAAUAACGUAAAGGAAAUUUUCCCUAUGAUAACCUGCAUCUUUUCAUAAUUAUCUCCUUAUCUAUGCCAUAUGGGAUACCUAUAGAUGUUAGAAACAUCAACUUCUCCAGAGAACAGCUUAAGGAUUUCUCACAAUGAAAUGCGUCUGCUAACGGAUUGAUAAACCAUAUUGUGCAAGGUGAACCUCAUGCCCUAUGGUUCAGGAACAUGGCACAAGUCCCCCAUCUAUACAUAUAGUCUAUAAUGUGCCUAUCGCUAUCUUGUAAAACAAGUAUCUACAAAUUAAGAUUUAUGUACUAGUAAACCUGUUCCAGUUUAUGAUGACUUUCAAUGACCUACCUACAGACACCUGUUCUUGUCAGUACAAAUUGGGUUGGUUCACUUGUGCCAUAUGUGUAUGCAUUUGAAGCCUAGACUCACUGAAUUUCAUUGGAUUAACACCGAAGAUGCUGAAAACAUGUUUUGUUACUUGAUAAAUCUCUUGUAUUUUUCCCCAGGUUAACUAUAAUCUUUUUGAUAUAUUUUAUUAGUAUUACUUUUGCAAUUAGUAUUCUAAAAUAAUAAUAUGAGGAAAACUGACUAUAAAAGCAAAGUUAAAAUAUGCACUAUGCAAGUAUUAUAGAAUUUAUAGAAUUAUUUCUAAGGGUUGAUAGUAAUGGGAUUAAAAACUCAGAAUAAGAUGCAUGUACUUGCCUCUAGCUCAUCAUCAAGUACUUCUUAAACUUGUGAAGGAUAGCAUGGGCAUUUGAAAAAUUCAAGUGCCACCCAGAAUGACUGACUAUACCUGAUUGAGAAAGGUAUUUCUUUGAUGUAUCACUUUUAGAGAAACCAAAUUCUUAUCAUUUCAUUUGUGAAAAAUAUAUUUGAUGCAGGAUGGAAAAAUAAGCUAUGCCUUCUAUGUGGACCAUUAACAUAUGCAGAAUAAUUUUUUUCUACAAUCUGGUCUGCAGACUAAUAUUGACUAUUAUGUCAUUUUCUCUAUUCUCUGGAAAAUGAAUUAAAUUUUAAGAACAUGUUUGACUUUUGUUUGUUCUUGAACCUGGAGAAUCCCAACCCUCAAGUUCCCUACAUUGGGCUCUUGCUUGUCCCUCUCCCUGUGCCCCUCCUCCCACUCAUGCUCAACUCUCUCUCAAAAAAAUAAAUAAAUAAAUGAAAUCUUAAACACACUCACACACAUCCAGAUGGAAGUGGUGAAGACAACACUACUAUUUCCCUCUGGACUGGUUUUUCUAACAUCCCAGCCCAGAAACUUCAAAAACUUCUUUAAACAUUACUACCCUUAAUUUGUGAAAUCUGUCCUUAAGUCUCCUUACUUUUUUCUAUGUAUUUCUCCCAUAUUUGUCUUUUCUAUCACAAGCAACCCUCACUAGACAUCAUCAUGUUGCAAACGCCUCGUUGCUGUCCACCCUGCUUUCCGCGUGCAGCCUUCCCGUCCAUCCUCAUGGUGGCUGCCAGCCACCCUGCUCCGUACUUGUCUUGGGACACAGCCCCUCCCUCCCAAAGUAGACCACAGGGGAAGGGCCUCUGGGGAAUUUCAUGAAGACUAAUCUCUCUUUCUUCAAAGGCCCAAGGGGAGCCCCAGAUAACUGUUUUAGAAGCUGUGUUAUUUAAUUUAGCCAUAUUUCUCUGAAUAUUCUACACCCUAUUGACUGCAUUCCUGACUUUAAAUAGAAACCUUAGAAAGUUCUAUCCAAGCACCAUUUUUUGUGUGUGGAAUUAUGGUAGAGCAUGCCUGUGUUACCUUUGGAACUCGGCCAUCAGCGCACUAAAGACCGCGUUUUCAGGAACUACACAGACAGGAGACUUUGUGACUUUGAAUACAGCCUUCAUGCAGCAGCUUUGCAGUUUUAUGCAAAUAAUCAAGGAAGACUUCAAAUUUGCCUGUUUUGGAAAAUAUUCCUCCAUCACUUAAUAAGCAAACUGGUAAAUAUUUUUAAUUACAUUUUGGUAAAAUAUUUCUCCUAAAAUUAUGUCCAUUGAUUUCCUCCCACUCAAUCAGGUACUAAAUCAGAGGCAUUUUCUUCAGAUUUAAUAGAAUAUACAGUGAUUUUAAUAUAUCUAUUACAGUUCUCUAGAUAUGGCAAUAAAAUUUCAAUAUUAAAAUGCCUUAAGGGGGAUCCCUGGGUGGCGCAGCGGUUUGGCGCCUGCCUUUGGCCCAGGGCGCGAUCCUGGAGACCCGGGAUCGAGUCCCACGUCGGGCUCCCGGUGCAUGGAGCCUGCUUCUCCCUCUGCCUGUGUCUCUGCCUCUCUCUCUCUCUCUCUCUCUCUCUCUCUCUCUCUCUGUGUGACUAUCAU
rnacentral:lncRNA from 1 species